GAUGAACGCUGGCGGCGUGCCUAAUACAUGCAAGUAGAACGCUGAAGGAAGGAGCUUGCUCUUUCCGGAUGAGUUGCGAACGGGUGAGUAACGCGUAGGUAACCUGCCUGGUAGCGGGGGAUAACUAUUGGAAACGAUAGCUAAUACCGCAUAACAGUAGAUGUUGCAUGAUAUCUACUUAAAAGGUGCAAUUGCACCACUACCAGAUGGACCUGCGUUGUAUUAGCUAGUUGGUGAGGUAACGGCUCACCAAGGCGACGAUACAUAGCCGACCUGAGAGGGUGAUCGGCCAAAAUGGGAACGAGACACGGCCCAGAAUCCUACGGGAGGGAGCAGUAGGGAAUCUUCGGCAAUGGACGGAAGUCUGACCGAGCAACGCCGCAUGAGGGAAGAAGGUUCUCGGAUCGUAAAGCUCUGUUGUAAGAGAAGAACGAGUGUGAGAGUGGAAAGUUCACACUGUGACGGUAUCUGACCAGAAAGGGACGGCUAACUACGUG
rnacentral:rRNA from 1 species